ACUUUGCCGCUCCAACCAAUAUGGUGGUUACGACACUUGACUUGUAAUCGAGUGGGCUCGGGUUCGAAUCCCGAAUAAGAUA